rnacentral:lncRNA from 1 species
GUGGUUUAUUAUUUGUUACUGUGUGAAUAAGAGUUGAAAAAUACGUUUGUAACACUUACCUUGUUCGGCGGCACCAUUUCAAAGUGGUCCCAGACUUGAGAUCUCUUGCUGGUUGGUUCCAUGUGUGGCAGGGCGUGGCCUGCCCUCCGAACAGGUGCCAUAUGGAGGUAGUGCCUUAAUUGGUGGGUGGGGAGAAAAGGUUUAUAUAAGGCACUGCCUCCAGCUGACUUCAGUUGUUUUCCCUCUUCGACGGUCCGGCGGGGUUGCGGCUUAUCUGGGCGGUUCGACCAACAGAAACUGUUUCACAGCGCGAGCUGUCUGGCAGCGCCAAGAAGGUGCUGCGGGCCACGGCGGGGAUCCAACCCCUGGUGGAGGGCGUUUUCAUCACCCCUCGUGUGUGGUUUUGUUUGCAGUAGCGCGGGUGUUUUUAGUUUGUUUAUCUCCCCUAAUUGAGUUUUACCUGCCGGUGGGGCCCCAGCCCUGUCCACCCCUUUUGUUAAUUUAACUAUUAUACAGCAGAGUUAUAUUUUUUUGAGUAUUGGAUUAAAUAAAAUUGUAGUGCCUAACCCUCAAUCCUGUCUCUGCCUCUGGAAUAGAACCUUAUCUGCGCGUGCCUGUUUUCCGGUUAAUUCCUGGGGUGAAACUCCCCAGGUGGCGUUGUCGUCAACCGUUCCACCUCUCUCCACCAUGCCAGCAUCUACUGUACCCUGCAGAAGAAUAUUCUCCAAAUGUGGAGAAAUUGUGAGCAAAAAAAUAAACUGGUUAAAUCCCAAUACUGUGGAAAAAAAAAAUAACGUACCUCAAUAAAAACGUUGAGUCUACAAUUACACAAGAAUACCCAAGCUAUGGCAUAUUUUACCAGCAUUUUCUCCUUAACAAAACAAAGCUCACGUGUGCGCCUCCCGGUCACCAAUAGCGG